rnacentral:lncRNA from 1 species
CCCCGCUAUAAAGCUUCCCAUCAACCUUUCACCUAGUGCUUCAUCUAUUGGUGAUCAUGAACUGCUGCAAAAUGUCUGAUUGCAUUUUCCCUGUUGACACGUCCUUGAACAAGGACAAUUCUACAUGACCCUGGCAUUGCCACCUACUCAAACCUUUGAUCUGGAAUGCCACAAAUCUAAGAGAUCUUCUAUCCGGUGACAACAGCUCUUUGCAGACAUUGCAAAGUCCUUUUCUG